rnacentral:rRNA from 1 species
UAAAACAGUUAUAGUUUAUUUGAUGGUCAUUCAUUACAUGGAUAACCGUGGUAAUUCUAGAGCUAAUACAUGCGCUCAAACCCAACUUCGUGGAAGGGUUGUGUUUAUUAGAUACAGAACUAACCCAGGCUCGCCUGGUCUUUUGGUGAUUCAUAAUAACCGAACGGAUCGCAUGGCCCCAGCUGGCGAUGAAUCAUUCAAGUUUCUGACCUAUCAGCUUCCGACGGUAGGGUAUUUGCCUACCGUGGCAAUGACGGGUAACGGAGAAUUAGGGUUCGAUUCCGGAGAGGGAGCCUGAGAAACGGCUACCACAUCUAAGGAGGGCAGCAGGCGCGCAAAUUACCCAAUCCUGACACAGGGAGGUAGUGACAAGAAAUAACAAUACAGGGCAUCCAUGUCUUGUAAUUGGAAUGAGUAGACUUUAAAUCCCUUUACGAGUACCAAUUGGAGGGCAAGUCUGG